CUGGUUGAUCCUGCCAGAGGCUACUGCUAUCGGGGUCCGACUAAGCCAUGCGAGUUGAGAGGGGUAAGCCCUCGGCAUAUUGCUCAGUAACACGCGGAUAACCUGCCCUUGGGUCCGGGAUAACCCCGGGAAACUGGGACUAAUACCGGAUAGAUCAAGGAUACUGGGAUGUUCUCUGGUCCAAAACUCCGGUGCCCAAGGAUGGGUCUGCGGCCUAUCAGGUAGUAGUGGGUGUAACGUACCUACUAGCCAGCGACGGGUAAGGGUUGUGAGAGCAAGAUCCCUGAGAUGGAUUCUGAGACAUGAAUCCAGGCCCUACGGGGUGCAGCAGGCGCGAAAACUUUACACUGCGGGAAACCGCGAUAAGGUGACCCCGAGUGCCAGCACCUAGUGCUGGCUGUCCUACUGUCUAAAUAACAGUGGUUAGCAAGGGCCGGGCAAGACCGGUGCCAGCCGCCGCGGUAACACCGGCGGCCCGAGUGGUAACCGUUUUUAUUGGGUUUAAAGGGUCCGUAGCCGGCUUACUAAGUCUCUUGGGAAAUCUGGCGGCUCAAUCGUCAGGCGGCCAAGAGAUACUGGUAGGCUUGGGACCGGGAGAGGUGGGAGGUACUCCAGGGGUAGGGGUGAAAUCUCGUAAUCCUUGGGGGACCACCGAUGGCGAAGGCAUCCCACCAGAACGGGUCCGACGGUGAGGGACGAAAGCUGGGGGCACGAACCGGAUUAGAUACCCGGGUAGUCCCAGCUGUAAACGAUGCUCGCUAGGUGUCAGGUGCGGUGCGACCGCAUCUGGUGCCGUAGUGAAAACUUGAAGCGAGUCACCUGGGAAGUACGGUCGCAAGGCUGAAACUUAAAGGAACUGGCGGGGGAGCACUACAACGGGUGGAGCCUGCGGUUCAAUUGGAUUCAACGCCGGA
rnacentral:rRNA from 1 species